rnacentral:lncRNA from 1 species
GGAAAUCAUCAGAAACACAAGUUCUUGAGUCUGCAGGAUGCAGUGGUCAGUCAGACUGAGAAACUCUCCAGAGAUUCCAAACACCUGAAAAACAUAUACAAAACCUGCAAGAACAUAAAGCCGAAGACAUCCAAAGCCAGGAAACAAUGCAAUGAUACUUACGAGAAGGUUACAGAGACCAUAGAUGGCCUUUACCAAGAUCUCUGGGCACUGCUGAGUCAGAACCAAAUGCAGGCUUUGAACUUACUGGAUGCCGAAAGAGAAACACUGAAUAAAAGUCUCAGUCAGUUUGAAUAUCAGGAUACAUUAACAGACAUUCAGGAAACAAUUCAGCAGCUGGAGAACCAACACACAAUGGAACAACAGACUCAACUGGAUGACAUCAAGAAACUGCAGGAGCGUCUGGAAGACAUGGAGAAGUUGUUUUCUGCUCUGACAGAAGAGACUGAAUGUGAUGAUAAUGCACAGAAAAUGUUUGAUGGCACAAGGAUCAGAGCUUUGGAGGAGUCCGUCAAAAUUAUCUUCCAGAAGAUCACAGAGCUCCUGCCUCAGCCUUGGGAGUUUUCAGAUGCAAUCACUUUUGACAAAGGGAAAAAGCACAAUGCCCUGACGUUCUGUGAGAAGAGAAUGCAGCUGUUCCUUCAAAACUCUACUUCCACUCAGACAAACAGACACACAGAGACAUGGUGCAGCGCAGUGGCGGAUAAGAGCUUCAAUACAGGUCAGCACUACUGGGAGGUGGAGGUGGAGGGCAGUCAGAGCUGGUCGGUGGGGAUAGUGUAUGAGGACUGGCUGAAGAAUAAAGAAAAUCAGCUAAACCAUCCUCUGGGCAGAGACUGUUCGUCCUGGGCCUUAGAGUGUGAUGAAGGUGAUCUGGUGGCUCUGCACAGUGAUGAGGUCAGCGCAGUGAAGAGCUGCAGUGUGAGCAGGCUGGGGGUGUGUGUGGACUAUGAUAAAGGAAAACUGAAGUUCUAUGAUGUAAACUCAGCGAAGUGCCUGCAUGUGACCGGAUUUGACCCCUCAAAACCAGUUCACCCUGCCUUCAGCCUCCGAAAAACAGGCCUCAAAAAGACCUCUAGCCUCACCAUCUGCAAACUCUUUCCCUCAUCUGAGAACAGAUAUUUAGAGGACAAUGAGGAGGAGGAAGACACCAGCAGAAACCAUCUGAGAACUUCAGCUGAUGACCAGGUUUCAGACCUGGCUGAUUCUGUUCAGAGUCUUACACCAAACUAGGUGGACACUUUUCAUCCACAUUGUAUCUACUUUAUAUUUCUAUAUAUAUCUGGGUCAUUCUUUUGUUAUAUUCACAAAAAAACUAUAAUAGUUUUUUGUGCUACUGUUAACAGUAAUAAAGUCAAUUGUACAUAACA